rnacentral:rRNA from 1 species
CCUACGGGAGGCAGCAGUGGGGAAUAUUGCGCAAUGGGCGGAAGCCUGACGCAGCGACGCCGCGUGGGGGAUGACGGCCUUCGGGUUGUAAACCUCUUUCGCCAUCGACGAAGCCUUCGGGUGACGGUAGGUGGAGAAGAAGCACCGGCCAACUACGUGCCAGCAGCCGCGGUAACACGUAGGGUGCGAGCGUUGUCCGGAAUUAUUGGGCGUAAAGAGCUCGUAGGCGGUGUGUCGCGUCGGCCGUGAAAACUUGGGGCUUAACUCUGAGCGUGCGGUCGAUACGGGCAUCACUUGAGUUCGGCAGGGGAGACUGGAAUUCCUGGUGUAGCGGUGAAAUGCGCAGAUAUCAGGAGGAACACCGGUGGCGAAGGCGGGUCUCUGGGCCGAUACUGACGCUGAGGAGCGAAAGCGUGGGGAGCGAACAGGAUUAGAUACCCUGGUAGUCCACGCCGUAAACGUUGGGCGCUAGGUGUGGGGACCAUUCCACGGUUUCUGUGCCGCAGCUAACGCAUUAAGCGCCCCGCCUGGGGAGUACGGCCGCAAGGCUAAAACUCAAAGGAAUUGACGGGGGCCCGCACAAGCGGCGGAGCAUGUGGAUUAAUUCGAUGCAACGCGAAGAACCUUAC